CAGUAAUUUGAUUUGUUGCAAAGAACUCAAAGAACUCCGUUCUAAAACAAAGUAUUUCCUUAAAAUUUUAACGUAUAAGCAUGGCUUACAACUUGAUUGAUGAUGUACUUAAAAGAUUUAAAACCGAUAAUCUUGUCGAUUUAAAUACUUUUUAUGAAACUUUAUUGGAUACAUUUCUUUACAACAAUAACAAAAUGGUUAGUAACGAAGGUCUUUUAAGUCGUUUUAUUGAUGUCACAAUAAGAGGAAAUAUAUGUGCCGAAGUUUGUAUCCCUUCUUACUUAAAAGACAAUGAAAUGCAUUGUAUUGCUCUAAGAUUCAUCUAAACAUAUUUAAAUGUCAUCAUCAGAAGAGGAUCAUUCUACCUCCCAUCGACAUGGUCGCUCAAAGAGAAAUUUAGAAAGAAUGCUGCAACAGUUGCUACGCCGUGUGGAAUAUUUGGAAGAUGCAUCAAUCAGUUAUUAAUAUAAGCGUUAAAAUCACUGGUUCCAUGUGUAAUGUCUAAAGCUCUUGUAUUUACUUUGCAUUAUUUUAUUUAAAUUUGCAUUUUUAUAAUUGCAUUCUUAUGGCCUUUAAUAUAAAAAUUUGAAACGUUUUUUCGGGUCUUUUUUACAAUAACAUUAUACAAGGGUUGAAAAAUCCUAAAAUCAUACAAGGGUUGAAAAAUCCUAAAAUCAUACAAGGGUUGAUUUAGGCAAUUGGGAAAUGCAAUAUCUGGGAAAACAUAUAGUUUUCAAAGUUUGAUUUUAUGGAAAACAUUAUGAAAAAUUAUGGUUUUUAAUAAACAAAAAAUUUGAGGACCAUAUACUUUUACACAUAUUGCAAUUCACGAUCACUUAAUUCAAAACUUGUCACAUACCAUAGUUUUCCCUAAUUCCAAACAAUCCUUAAUUUCGAACAGACUAAUUCCAAACAGACAUAAAAUUAAUAACUAUAAAGCACUUUUAUACUUUUUAUAUAAAUUUCAAAACGUCUUGUUUAUCUUGACGUUGGUUAAUAAAUUAAAAAAAUUAUCAGUUUAGCAUAGCUAGGAUUGCCACCUCCAAAUGAACUAGUAAUAAUUUGGAGGUCGCAACCGUAGCUGUACAGUACAGAUGUGAUAAUUUACAGUAGCGUCAGAAAGCUAUAUUUUCCUAUCAAGUUAACAUUUUAAAAUGAAAUUUUGCAUAAGCAUGUCAAGUUAUAUUACAAUUAUAAAAAACAAAACAAAAACCCACUUUUGAGAGUAAUUAACUAAAAACAUUUUAAAAGAGUGGAAAUGAUUGGCUUAAAAGUAAUUGGACAAACUAAAUAGAUUAAUAGGGCAGCAUUCCUUAAGGCUACAACCUACCUGAUACUAAUAAUUGAAAUUCUGCUAUUUAACAGUGUUAAAUAGCAGAAUUUAUAUUACAGUAUUACAAUAUUUAUUACAUUAGCGCUAUUAUUAUUGCCCUUAUAUUACAAUAUUAAAGAAUUUUAAAAUUUCAAAAAAUCUUUUUACUUAACUCUAAGCUAGAGGUCUAUGCAUAAAUUACUUACCAUUUUAAAUUGAUUGCUAUUUUUUUGGAUUUGAUAUGAACGUUUGGAAUAAGGAACAUGAGUCCUUAAUUCCGAACAAAAACUUUAAUUUUCAAAAUUGAAAAAUAACAACAUUUCCAUUAUAAAUGGUAAUGGUUGGUAUGAGUCGAUGUAAUUUUCUUUUAUUAUUAUAAAUGUA
rnacentral:misc_RNA from 1 species